rnacentral:rRNA from 1 species
AUUGAACGCUGGCGGCAGGCUUAACACAUGCAAGUCGAGCGGGGUGAUGGUGCUUGCACUAUCACUUAGCGGCGGACGGGUGAGUUAUGCUUAGGAAUCUGCCUAUUAGUGGGGGACAACAUCUCGAAAGGGAUGCUAAUACCGCAUACGUCCUACGGGAGAAAGCAGGGGAUCACUUGUGACCUCGCGCUAAUAGAUGAGCCCAAGUCGGAUUAGCUAGUUGGUGGGGUAAAGGCCUACCAAGGCGACGAUCUGUAGCGGGUCUGAGAGGAUGAUCAGCCACACUGGGACUGAGACACGGCCCAGACUCCUACGGGAGGCAGCAGUGGGGAAUAUUGGACAAUGGGGGGAACCCUGAUCCAGCCAUGCCGCGUGUGUGAAGAAGGCCUUAUGGUUGUAAAGCACUUUAAGCGAGGAGGAGGCUCUUUUGGUUAAUACCCAAGAUGAGUGGACGUUACUCGCAGAAUAAGCACCGGCUAACUCUGUGCCAGCCGCCGCCGUAA